AGCUUUGUGCAGUGGCAGUAUUGUAGCCAGUGAGGUUUAUCUGAGGUGUGAUUAUUGCUAAUUGAAAAGAAAAGGUAUUUUCUUACAAUGCAAAUAAAGCCUCUAUUUAGAACCUUGCUGGAAGG
rnacentral:snRNA from 1 species